rnacentral:rRNA from 1 species
CUCCUUUGACGUUAGCGGCGGACGGGUGAGUAACACGUGGGUAACCUACCUAUAAGACUGGGAUAACUUCGGGAAACCGGAGCUAAUACCGGAUAAUAUUUCGAACCGCAUGGUUCGAUAGUGAAAGAUGGUUUUGCUAUCACUUAUAGAUGGACCCGCGCCGUAUUAGCUAGUUGGUAAGGUAACGGCUUACCAAGGCGACGAUACGUAGCCGACCUGAGAGGGUGAUCGGCCACACUGGAACUGAGACACGGUCCAGACUCCUACGGGAGGCAGCAGGA